GAGUUUGAUCGUGGCUCAGAACGAACGCUGGCGGCAGGCCUCAAACAUGCAAGUCUAGGGGGUGUAGCAAUACAUCACCGGCGGACGGGUGCGUAACGCGUGGGAAUAUACCUAUUGGUUCGGAACAACUGCGGGAAACUGCAGCUAAUACCGAAUGUGCCCUAACGGGGAAAGAUUUAUCGCCAAUGGAUUAGCCCGCGUAGGAUUAGCUAGUUGGUGGGGUAAUGGCUCACCAAGGCUCCGAUCCUUAGCUGUUCUGAGAGGAAGAUCAGCCACACUGGGACUGAGACACGGCCCAGACUCCUACGGGAGGCAGCAGUUGGGAAUCUUGGACAAUGGGGGAAACCCUGAUCCAGCCAUGCCGCGUGAGUGAUGAAGGCCUUCGGUUGUAAACUACUUUCGUACGGGACGAUAAUAGACGGUACCCGUAGAAGAAGCUCCGGCUAACUUCGUGCCAGCCGCCGCA
rnacentral:rRNA from 1 species